rnacentral:rRNA from 1 species
CUUCUCGACACAUAGCCCGUCGCUCCUACCGACACUAAACCCGACGCUCUUACAAACCCACUGAACCUUAUCAUUUAGAGGAAGGAGAAGUCGUAACAAGGUUUCCGUAGGUGAACCUGCGGAAGGAUCAUUG